rnacentral:rRNA from 1 species
AAUGAACGUUGGCGGCGUGGAUUAGGCAUGCAAGUCGAGCGGAAAGGCCCGCAAGGGUACUCAAGCGGCGAAAGGGAGAGUAACACGUAGGUUACCUACCCUCCGACCCGGGAUAGCUGAGGGAAACUUCAGGUAAUACCGGAUAACGUCUCCGGACCAAAGGUGUGAUUCCGUCGGAGGAGGGGCCUGCGUCCUAUCAGCUUGUGGGGGAGGUAACGGCUCACCAAGGGAAAGAUGGGUACGGGGUGUGAGAGCAUGCCCCCGCUCACUGGGACUGAGACACUGCCCAGACACCUACGGGUGGCUGCGGUCGAGGAUCUUCGGCAAUGGGCGCAAGCCUGACCGAGCGACGCCGCGUGCGGGAUGAAGGCCUUCGGGUUGUAAACCGCUGUCAGGGGGGAGGAAAUGCUACGGGGUUCUCCCCGUAGUUUGACCUAGCCUCAGAGGAAGUACGGGCUAAGUUCGUGCCAGCCGCCGCCGUAAUAC